UACGUAGGGGGCGAGCGUUGUCCGGAUUUAUUGGGCGUAAAGGGCUCGUAGGCGGUUUGUCGCGUCGGGAGUGAAAACGCCGGGCUUAACUCGGUGCUUGCUUUCGAUACGGGCAGACUAGAGGCAUGCAGGGGAGAACGGAAUUCCUGGUGUAGCGGUGAAAUGCGCAGAUAUCAGGAGGAACACCGGUGGCGAAGGCGGUUCUCUGGGCAUGUCCUGACGCUGAGGAGCGAAAGUGUGGGGAGCGAACAGG
rnacentral:rRNA from 1 species